GGCCAGGUAGCUCAGUUGGUACGAGCGUCCGCCUGAAAAGCGGAAGGUCGUCGGUUCGAUCCCGACUCUGGCCACCA
rnacentral:tRNA from 39 species